GUUCUGUCUUAGGUUGCUGGGAUGCUAAAGGUGAAAUGCAUGCUUUCAACAGCCGAUGGGAAUCCAAUUGUAUGCGCUGUUCAUGUAAUCCAAGAGUUGGACUAAUUUGCUGCAGCAUGGUGUUAAGGCCUAAGGAAUAUGACAGUGUCACUUGCAAGGAAAUUUUCAACAAGCAGUCCUGUACAAUAAGCGUUGUACAGAAAGCCAAUCCCACUGUAGCCUGUAACGUCCAACGCUUUACAGGUUAACAACUCAAUCUUCUCCUCCUGAUGUUGCUGCCAAAGUCAUUGCAUCCCAACAGAACUUGUAAAUUCUUGGAGCAAUUGCCCUUUCCUUGGAAUUCAGGGCAGCAAGGGGCUAGCAACCAUGUGGGCAUUACCUUGGAUCUGCAUUCUGUUGAAAGCAUUGUCAAAUCUUAGGCAAACUGAUUCAAACCACAAAGUGCUGAUCUCUAUGGCAUCUGAGAUCCUCUAGACAUUUAGGUUGUGCCCAUACCUCCUGGAACCUGAUGUCUGAUGGAUGCCCAAAGAAAAUACAUUGUCCUGUAGCAUGAAAUGAAUCUGUCCUUUUCCUUUUAAAGAAUCAAUGUCCAAAUUAAGUAUAGAAGAUCUUUGUGGUCCUUGGGGAAAUUCCUGGAAUGUACACUUUGGGACUGAAACACUAUAUGCUUUUUUUGCUUCUACUCACCUCCCAAAUCUGUCUGAGAAUCCUUGGAUUUCAAUCCUGGAAGAACCAACGUUAUAAAUAACCCAAGGAAUAAUGUAAAGAUACCUGAAAGGGGCAAGAUGGCAUAUUUACCAGUGAUGAUGACUUUCAGUUGAGUAGUAUCAUGAAAUACAAUAAGCAUAUACAUGGUGGAGAGAACAGGGAGAUUGCUCAGUUAUAAAGUGAGAAUGAGAGAUAACAGAUGGGCAGCCUAAGCAUUUCAUUGGUAUCCUUGAAAUGAUAACUGAAUGGGAGUGUACUGUACCUCUCACUUUAAGCCUAGGACAGCCCUGCAGCUG
rnacentral:lncRNA from 1 species